rnacentral:rRNA from 1 species
CUUAAACGCGAGUUUUUGGCAAAUCUCAAAAAAAUAGUCUUAGUUCGGAUUGAAGUCUGCAACUCGACUUCAUGAAGUUGGAAUCGCUAGUAAUCGCGAAUCAGCAUGUCGCGGUGAAUACGUUCUCGGGGUUUGUACACACCGCCCGUCAAACCACGAAAGUGGACAAUACCCGAAAGCGAUAGCCUAACUGCGCAAGCAGAGGGAAUCGUCUAAGGUAGGGUCGAUGAUUGGGGUUAAGUCGUAACAAGGUAUCCCUACCGGAAGGUGGGGAUGGAUCACCUCCUUUCU